GUCUCCCGUCAGCGGGGCGGGCUCCGGGCAGGCUGCCGUAGGUAACACGGUGGGGCCGCGUCCGCCAGGCAGCGAGCGGGGUGGGAGCCCGCCGGCGGCGGCCCGCGCUCCCCGGCAGAGCAGCGUGCGAGGCCGCAGGAAGCGGCGGGAGCGGGGCCGGGCAGCGGGGGCCGGAGGAGGCGCAGCCGGGGCUCCUUCUCCCCCGGGCGCUCCCCAUUGUUCCCCGGCAGCCUCUUUUCGCGCCGCUUUCCGCCGGCGGGGCUUGCCCGGCCGGAGCGAGGGAAGGAGAGAAGAGCUCCCGCCGAGCCGCUCUGCUCGCCCCGCCGCCGCCGCCGGGCCCCCCGCAAGCUGGUGUGCUCGCACGCCGCAGCCCGGGGGGGCCCGGCAAGAAAACGGGUACAUAAGUAGAGAGGAGUCUUUAGAAGUGCCAUCCACUGAGGGAGCUCCUGUGAGGCUGUAGCUCACGUGUUACUUGAAAGAACGGGACUUCUGAAAGAAAUCGGGAGAAAUUGCUCCGAACCGCUGGAUUUGGAAUAAUAAAUGUAGCCAAAGAGAAUUUUGGAAGGAACUCGUCUUAAUGGUCUGUUUAUUAAAAUGAAGAUUAAUCUUAACCUGUUUUUCAUAUAAGCACCGUGAUGUCUGGAUUUUUUUUUUCUCCCCAACUGAUUGUUUUUAUGUUGGUUUGAGAUUUUUAAAGAUUUGCUUUAUAGGAAAAGUGUUUUGUUGUCUCUUCCCUGAAAAUAAUUAGAAAUUAAAUUGUGUUGGUACGCCAUUUCAGACCUGAACUUUCUCAUGUAUUUACAUAUAGGAAGAACUGACUAACUUGAUGUUCAAGAAAAUUUCCAACAAGUGCCCUUGAUGUUCUAAGGGAAAAAAUAUGUCUUUGCACGUUGUUUCUGGAAGAUUAAAUUAAAACCGGGUAGGGGCUCAUAUUUGCGAUGAGGAAAGAAUUUCUAGAGAACUAGUUAGUUUAACAAAAUCCUUCCUAGGAGAAAUGUGGUUAUUUUUAGCAAGUCAUCUCCGAGUACAUGAAAAAUUAUUUUAAAAGAAGUGAUGUGUAGAUUUUUAAAAAUUAAAUAUAUCGCCUAUAAAUUAACAUUUUGCAUGGAUCGUAAGCAGCAAGUAAAAGAAGUUAAAGGAUGAUGUUUAUGGAUAUCACCUUGCUGAAAAUACUUCUGAAGUGACUUUCCUCCCCCCACGCACACUUGGGAAGUUGCAUGCUUGCAGUCAUUGUUUAAGAUAAUACAGUUUGGGACUUCUCUUUCACUCUUUGUAAACUUGCAGGCUUUUGUGGGACUCCUCCAAAUAAAAGCUCAAUUCAGUAUAGAUGGUAAAAAGCAUCCAUGUAAUUCGAAAGCUGAAGAUGCAAGUAAUAUUUAAUAGGAAAACACCACCCCGGUGAUAUCUAAAGGCAUUAACUUUAAGAUCGAGGAAAGAAAGAUAUUUUUGUUUUGUUUUGUUUUACUUCUCCUACUUGAGUAUUCCGGAGAUGCAUUUACACUUGAUUGCUGCUUGCUUGGCAAUUUUCAAAAGGUAACUACAAAUUUAGAAAGCGUCAUUCAAAAGGACAUUUAAUGCUCUUGUAUUUACUAAAACAAUAUAUCGCUAUUUGAAAACUAUCUUAUUGAAAGGGAAGAUUAAAAAAAAUAGUCAGGGAGAGACCGUUUGUGCCAUUCUUCAUUGCUCUCUAUUUUGUAUGUGUGCUGAAUGUGUUGACAUAUUUCAUACAUUAAGUUUUUUUCACAAAGGAGCAUUGUUGUUACUUUUAAUUGGGAAGUACCACGAUAUAAAAAUUACCCACAUUCCCGACUCUGAAGUACCAUAGUAAGAUUGACAAAAAGUGAUCCGAGGCUUGUGCGCUUAAUUCGCCAGGAAUGUUAAGCUUCCCAGAUACACCCUAUGUGGUCAAGUUAGACUUUCGCUCUUAGACAGUUUUUAAUGGUCAAAAUCGUACCUAGAGGAAAUGUAUCUAUGUAUAUAUAUUUGGAAUUGAAAUUAGAUGGUAACUAGCAGUGGGAACAGAGCUCACUGAUAGAAAGACCUUUUUUUUUAUUGCAUUUGGCAACCUCUUUCUUUCAGAGACACAAUACAAUUAAUUAACAUAUUCUGGGGCGUGUUUUUGAGAUUGGGAAGUGGUGGCCCCUUGUUGAGAAGAAAACACUUUAAAUAAAAAAGUAACAUUGUUUUGUCCAAAUGGUACUGGGAAAAGCAGAGUAGUAUUGCUUAUACAGCCCACGGAUGCGGUUGAUUUACUCCAAUUUGCUUUAGCAUAUAACAAACCAGCUUUUCCUUUCCCACGCCUAUAUUAGCUAUAUGUGUUUUGUUUAUACAAAUCCAUCUAAGAUAGGUCUGUAUUUAAGAUAUUUGAUGGGAAAUUCAGCGUGUCGUUUCUUGUGUUUAAUAUGUAGUACAGAUACCAUUCCUAAAUCGAAAUCAAAUAAAUGUGACCUGUGACACAACGCAGUAUCACACUGCUGAUUGCAAUGCAGCCGACAUGAAAAAAAGGCUAUUAAUUUAUAUGGAAUGUUAAUUUAGCAAAUCCUACAUCGAUAUAUGCCUACAGAAGAAAAGUAAUCUGAGGCUUGGUUUUGGAGUGAUGCUAUGUAAAUGUAUUUAAUAAAAACCCAAUGAAUUAAUACAUACCUCAUAAAAAUCCAAACUUCAAAAUGAAGUACUAUUCUUUAAAGAGAAGCUUUGCAUUAUGUUUAAGUCGCAUAUAAUCUAAAUUCCAGAGUUUACUAACCCAGCUUUUCAGGGCUUAAUACAGUGUUAAUAUUCAAUAUGGUUUGCUAGAAGUUUAUUUCAGGUUCUUUUGUAUCAUACUGUAAUUAUCAUUAGUUUGACUUGACUCACAUAAAAAUGUGGUUAACAUUUAAAUGCCUUUUUAAUGUAGAGAAUUAUAAAUUAACUGUCACUUUUAAAUCUUUAACUCCUAUCACUUUGGGAAUGUUAAAUCAUUAAAAGGAAAUAAUGACUGAGCUUAAAAACAUCCUGUGCUAGGAUUCCUUUAUUUAGAAUUUUGGUUUGAUUUUGUUCAUUCAAAGAAAAUCCCUCCUUUCGUGUUUACUGUAAACCUCAGUCUGAAAUUAACAUUUAAAUGCCAACAUUAGUAACAGAAGCAGUACUUGAAAACCACCAAUUUUAUCCAUUGCUCCUAGUUAAGUGGAAUUUACCAAAGUCUCCAAAGGUGAUAAGACAAUUAAAAGCAAGAAAAUGAAUACAAUAGUUGGUGGAAUUACUUCCCCCUUUCUUUGCAGUCUAAAGAAUUACAAAAUUUGUAAUUACGUUUGCACAAAAUAGCACAACAUAUGAAGAGGCAUGGCGUCCAGGAGAUGCACUGACAUGACCUUUGAUGCUGCUACCUGUACUUGCAUAACAUGUAAAUAUACAGCAUGCAAACUCCUGAUCAAGAAGUGACUACAUGCUAAAUGUUGAAACUUUUAAAUUACUCAGUACAUUGCAUUUGGAUAGGUGUUAAAUACAGAUUUGAGCAGUAUAUUAAAGAGGAGGAAAAAGAAAACUUUGCUCUUUCUCAGUAUAAUUUAGGAGUAAGCGUGUAAAGAUACAUUAACAUUUUUAAUCUGGGUUCUGUAGACAUGCCGUAUCAUUCAUAAUUGAACAUGGAUGGAAAUACUUUGUUGGAUCUACGGCAGACUGCCAUUUAAAACACAUCGUGUGCAAAGGUCAACACACAAGAGUCGCAUUUUGUGUAAAGUGACCAUUUUGCUGCUGCCUUCCCAGAAAUGAAGCGAAUAUCCACGAUUAGAAUGUAUUUCAGUGAAGACUGUUAAUGAUUUAAACCCACAUAAACAAAAGGCAGACAAGCAUCGAUGUAUUUUAAAUGGAUAAUCGGGAGAUGUAUUACUCUACCUAUUGAGUAUCACUAAGUUACUGCAAUUUUCCUGUUUUCAGUUGCAUCUGUUUAGCUGCAGCAUGUAUCCUUUUGCACAUAGGUAAAGAUCAAAGCUUUCUCAUCAAAGAGCCAAUCAGAAAAUGGAGUAAAAAUUGCUAUCAGAAAUUUCCUUUCUGGAAAGAAGUGAGUUUCCCUACUCUACAGCUCCAAGUCCCAAUAUCAAUUCAUGUUUUCUAAUACAGUAUGCAUUUUAUAUGAAGUCUGUGCUUUUUCUGUUAUUCCUGGAAGACUCUUCUGAUGAUUAUAUCCAACUGGUAAUGCAGUUUUAUAAAUGAAAGACUUUUUCUUGUUCAAUGCUUUGUUUUAUUCACUAAACUUACAAUAUGAUUUCGCACGUUUUAGAAAAAAAAAGAGUAAAAUUUAAAGCAAGUGUUCAAAAAUCUUUGCAUUAUUGUUGUAACCGAUUAAUUGGUAGUUAAAAUUUAAGGUGAAUACCUCUUUAUUUUUGUUAAUUAAGCUGAAGUGCUAUGCACCAAUGUACAUUAACAUUUUAGUGAGGAAUUCCUUAAACUUUUAAAAACAAUUUGCUUUUGGACAGUGUUAUUUUCUUUCACUUAUGCAUUCACUCUAUUUGAAAAAGUAUAAAAAAAAAUGAAAACAUAUAAUCUUCUUGUACGUUUCUUAUAAUCUAACCUGUUUAGCUCCUAGGUUUUGUAGGUUCCUUUUAAGAGAAUUGGAUUUUCUCCUUGCAUUUAGAUUAACAAUGAAAUUAUUCAUUCUUACUCACUGAAUUAUAUUCCUCUCUAAUUAUUUUAAUCUCUUAUAUAUCACUAUAAGAAGGACAGGCUUCUUUUUUUAAAAAGAAAAUUGGCCUUCUGUGUCAUGUCAGUGCUUAUUAAAUACUACAAUCAUAAGAACAUAUAUGCUACAAGAUUUUAUGUUCUGAUUCCAUAGCUGUUAUAGGCUUAGUGUUUGCAGUAUUUAUUUAGUGGUAAUGCAUUUCUUUUCCUAUUUUGCAUUUCAAAGGUCUUCUCUAAAUGAUUGUUUUACAGAACUAUCAAGAAGUUAUCUAAAUUUUUCCACCAAAUAUUACACAAUACCAUAAGGUGGUAGUCAUGGCGUUUCUUUCAGUCCAUGUACAUUCUUUCUAUAGAAAGAAUUAAGCAAAAACCCAUAUAAAGACAACAAAUGUUUCAUUAAAUAAUUGAAUGUAUUAGGCUUGACUGAAUUUUGACCAAAGCAAAAUUUCAGGCUGUUCAAUACUGAGCUGGUGUGUUACAUGGUGUGAGAUUAAAAUAUUUUUAUUUGAAAACUAUACAGGAGGUUUUUCACGAACAUACUCUUGUUGCCAUGGUGCAGCUUUAAUCAAGUUGUUGCAAAGCGAUUAAUUUUUUCUUUGGUGAUGCUUCUUUAUAAAACUAAAGACUGAGCCUUAAAAUAGCUAACAUUUAAAAAAAAAAAACCA